rnacentral:rRNA from 1 species
CCUACGGGAGGCAGCAGUGGGGAAUAUUGGGCAAUGGAGGCAACUCUGACCCAGCAACGCCGCGUGAGCGAUGAAGGUCUUCGGAUUGUAAAGCUCUGUCGCAGGGGACGAAGUAUGACGGUACCCUGUAAGAAAGCCCCGGCAAACUACGUGCCAGCAGCCGCGGUAAUACGUAGGGGGCUAGCGUUGUCCGGAAUUACUGGGCGUAAAGGGAGUGUAGACGGCUUGUCAAGUUAAGUGUGAAAGCCUGCGGCUUAACCGCAGAAUUGCACUUAAAACUGACUCGCUAGAGUGCAGGAGAGGUGAGUGGAAUUCCUAGUGUAGCGGUGGAAUGCGUAGAUAUUAGGAGGAACACCAGAGGCGAAGGCGGCUCACUGGACUGUAACUGACGUUGAGGCUCGAAAGCGUGGGGAGCAAACAGGAUUAGAUACCCCUGUAGUC